rnacentral:rRNA from 1 species
AACGAACGCUGGCGGCAUGCCUAACACAUGCAAGUCGAACGAACCCCUCGGGGUGAGUGGCGCACGGGUGCGUAACACGUGGGAACCCGCCCUUAGGUUCGGAAUAACAGUUAGAAAUGACUGCUAAUACCGGAUAAUGUCUUCGGACCAAAGAUUUAUCGCCUUUGGAUGGGCCCGCGUAGGAUUAGAUAGUUGGUGAGGUAAAGGCUCACCAAGGCGACGAUCCUUAGCUGGUCUUAGAGGAUGAUCAGCCACACUGGGACUGAGACACGGCCCAGACUCCUACGGGGGGCAGCAGUGGGGAAUAUUGGACAAUGGGCGAGAGCUUGAUCCAGCAAUACCGCGUGAGUGAUGAAGGCCUUAGGGUUGUAAAGCUCUUUUACCUGGGAUGAUAAUGACAGUACCAGGAGAAUAAGCCCCGGCUAACUCCGUGCCAGCCGCCGCCGUAA